rnacentral:snoRNA from 1 species
AACCCAUGGUGAGGGCACCUUAUUGACGAAUCCUUGUACCUCUCCCAAGCCUCAUAUAAUGAUUCAAAACCAAAUUACAUGAAAGAGGUGAUAUCAUUCCGUUU